rnacentral:rRNA from 1 species
AUUGAACGCUGGCGGCAGGCCUAACACAUGCAAGUCGAGCGGUAGAGAGGUGCUUGCAUCUCUUGAGAGCGGCGGACGGGUGAGUAAUGCCUAGGAAUCUGCCUAGUGGUGGGGGAUAACGUUCGGAAACGGACGCUAAUACCGCAUACGUCCUACGGGAGAAAGCGGGGGAUCUUCGGACCUCGCGCCAUUAGAUGAGCCUAGGUCGGAUUAGCUAGUUGGUGAGGUAAUGGCUCACCAAGGCGACGAUCCGUAACUGGUCUGAGAGGAUGAUCAGUCACACUGGAACUGAGACACGGUCCAGACUCCUACGGGAGGCAGCAGUGGGGAAUAUUGGACAAUGGGCGAAAGACUUGAUCCAGCCAUGCCGCGUGUGUGAAGAAGGUCUUCGGAUUGUAAAGCACUUAAGUUUGGGAGGAAGGGUAGUAACCUAAUACG